rnacentral:rRNA from 1 species
UACGUAGGUGGCAAGCGUUGUCCGGAAUUAUUGGGCGUAAAGCGCGCGCAGGCGGUCCUUUAAGUCUGAUGUGAAAGCCCACGGCUCAACCGUGGAGGGUCAUUGGAAACUGGGGGACUUGAGUGCAGGAGAGAAGAGUGGAAUUCCACGUGUAGCGGUGAAAUGCGUAGAGAUGUGGAGGAACACCAGUGGCGAAGGCGACUCUUUGGCCUGUAACUGACCGCUGGAGGCGCGGAAAGCGUGGGGAGCAAACAGG